AUUGAACGCUGGCGGCAGGCCUAACACAUGCAAGUCGAACGAGCGGCGGACGGGUGAGUAAUGUCUGGGAAACUGCCUGAUGGAGGGGGAUAACUACUGGAAACGGUGGCUAAUACUGCAUACUAUCGGAUGUGCCCAGCUGGGAUUAGCUAGUGGGUGGGGUAACGGCUCACCUAGGCGACGAUCCCUAGCUGGUCUGAGAGGAUGACCAGCCACACUGGAACUGAGACACGGCCCAGACUCCUACGGGAGGCAGCAGUGGGGAAUAUUGCACAAUGGGCGCAAGCCUGAUGCAGCCAUGCCGCGUGUAUGAAGAAGGCCUUCGGGUUGUAAAGUACUUUCAGCGGGGAGGCGUUACCCGCAGAAGAAGCACCGGCUAACUCCGUGCCAGCAGCCGCGGUAAUUC
rnacentral:rRNA from 1 species